rnacentral:lncRNA from 1 species
CGACUAGUUUCGAUAUAAGGGUCAACCACUAGUCAACGUGACUGUUCGCCAACAGUAACCUUAUCUCUUCCGAAAAAUUUGGAAACUGUCAAGCGAUAACUACGAGCGUGUAAAACGGAAUAUUCUCGUUAACCUCGCCUCUGUUUUAACUGUGCCUCAGGAAUUCCUCCCUUCCGUUUCACCCAAACCAUUCUGCCUAUUCAUCUUCCUCGCAGUAGCCCUAGCGCCGUCAGUUGCAAUAUUUGAGCUCGAGUGCCACCCUCCCCCAUCGUUUAGC